GAUGAACGCUGGCGGCGUGCCUAAUACAUGCAAGUCGAGCGAACGGACGAGAAGCUUGCUUCUCUGAUGUUAGCGGCGGACGGGUGAGUCACACGUGGAUAACCUACCUAUAAGACUGGGAUAACUUCGGGAACCCGGAGAUAAUACCGGAUGAUAUUUUGAACCGCAUGGUUCAAAAGUGAAAGCCGGUCUUGCUGUCCCUUAUAGAUGGAUCCGCGCUGCAUUAGCUAGUUGGUAAGGUAACGGCUUACCAAGGCAACGAUGCAUAGCCGACCUGAGAGGGUGAUCGGCCACACUGGAACUGAGACACGGUCCAGACUCCUACGGGAGGCAGCAGUAGGGAAUCUUCCGCAAUGGGCGAAAGCCUGACGGAGCAACGCCGCGUGAGUGAUGAAGGUCUUCGGAUCGUAAAACUCUGUUAUUAGGGAAGAACAUAUGUGUAAGUAACUGUGCACAUCUUGACGGUACCUAAUCAGAAAGCCACGGCUAACUACGUG
rnacentral:rRNA from 1 species